rnacentral:rRNA from 1 species
GACGUAGGGCGCGAGCGUUGUCCGGAUUUAUUGGGCGUAAAGAGCUCGUAGGCGGUCUGUCGCGUCGGCUGUGAAAACCUGGGGCUCAACUCCGGGCCUGCAGCCGAUACGGGCAGACUAGAAUUCGGUAGGGGAGACUGGAAUUCCUGGUGUAGCGGUGAAAUGCGCAGAUAUCAGGAGGAACACCGGUGGCGAAGGCGGGUCUCUGGGCCGAUAUUGACGCUGAGGAGCGAAAGCGUGGGGAGCGAACAGG